rnacentral:rRNA from 1 species
CCUACGGGAGGCAGCAGUGAGGAAUAUUGGUCAAUGGACGAGAGUCUGAACCAGCCAAGUAGCAUGAAGGAUGACUGCCCUAUGGGUUGUAAACUUCUUUUAUAUGGGAAUAAAACGUUCCACGUGUGGGAUUUUGUAUGUACCAUAUGAAUAAGGAUCGGCUAACUCCGUGCCAGCAGCCGCGGUAAUACGGAGGAUCCGAGCGUUAUCCGGAUUUAUUGGGUUUAAAGGGAGCGUAGGUGGAUUGUUAAGUCAGUUGUGAAAGUUUGCGGCUCAACCGUAAAAUUGCAGUUGAAACUGGCAGUCUUGAGUACAGUAGAGGUGGGCGGAAUUCGUGGUGUAGCGGUGAAAUGCUUAGAUAUCACGAAGAACUCCGAUUGCGAAGGCAGUUCACUGGACUGCAACUGACACUGAGGCUCGAAAGUGUGGGUAUCAAACAGGAUUAGAUACCCGAGUAGUC